rnacentral:tRNA from 1 species
GCGCUCGUAGCUCAGGGGAUAGAGCGCUGCCCUGCGGAGGCAGAGGUCGAAGGUUCGAAUCCUUCCGGGCGCACCA